AGAUGGAGUGUUUGCCAUGUCCAAUACUACAUGCAAAAAUACACGCGUCUAUUUGAGGAUGUUUUUCUGGAUGGAAAGCUCCGUCCGGACACCAUCCAACGGUACGAUUCAACAAACCGUAGCUUCAUCUUGAUCACCUGGAAAUGCUCUUGGCCUUUGCAAAAUGGACGAAGAGGCUAACAAUGAAAAUACUGGAGGAAAUUUGCUCUAAAGCAGUCCCACGGUGAUCCCCAUGACGAUGGAGCGCCAGAACCCGUGACUGGCAACGUAACACCAGUCUCCUCUGGAGUAAAUACGACCAUUUCAAGCAGACUGCCAACCAGACAGCAGAAAGCACAGCAGCUGGAAAGCACCGAGAACAGGCAGAGAAUGCUGCCUUGUGCACCGUCUAGCCAUCCGACCAGGAAUGGAGGCAAUCGGUGCUUCACCCUUUGAUGUUCCUUCCGGGUGUUCUGGUGCCCACAGCACUUGGGAAACCAAGGCAGAAGGAUCAUCACAAGUUCAAAGGCAACCUGGGACUCUAGACAGACUAUUCGAAAAAAUUAUACAAGUAAAUGCAAGAAAGUAAGCACUUC
rnacentral:lncRNA from 1 species